GUAGGCGGCAAGCGUUGUCCGGAAUUAUUGGGCGUAAAGCGCGCGCAGGGCGGUCCUUUAAGUCUGAUGUGAAAGCCCACGGCUCAACCGUGGAGGGUCAUUGGAAACUGGGGGACUUGUGUACAGAAGAGGAAAGCGGAAUUCCAAGUGUAGCGGUGAAAUGCGUAGAGAUUUGGAGGAACACCAGUGGCGAAGGCGGCUUUCUGGUCUGUAACUGACGCUGAGGCGCGAAAGCGUGGGGAGCAAACAGGAUUAGAUACCCUGGUAGUCCACGCCGUAAACGAUGAGUGCUAAGUGUUAGGGGGUUUCCGCCCCUUAGUGCUGCAGCUAACGCAUUAAGCACUCCGCCUGGGGAGUACGGCCGCAAGGCUG
rnacentral:rRNA from 1 species